GCAGCUGUAGCACCUCAAAUUUGCACCUAUCAUUGUACAUACAUUCUCAUAUUAGGUCAUAACAUAACAUGGUCCACUGCAUAGCAUUGCAUUGUCCCUUUUGCCCAAGUGCAAGAUCAUCAGAGAAAUUAGGUCAAACUGGUCAGGAGAUCAGUCAGUCAAGCAAGCAAGCACAAUUCUCAUUGAGCCAAGGCCCUAGGGUUGGUCCAACAUGUUCACAUGACUUGGGGAUCCAUUUGAAGUGUUUUGGUCAAGGAUGGGAUG
rnacentral:lncRNA from 1 species